CCUACGGGCGGCAGCAGUGAGGAAUAUUGGUCAAUGGUCGGGAGACUGAACCAGCCAAGCCGCGUGAGGGAUGAAGGUACAGAGUAUCGUAAACCUCUUUUGUCAGGGAACAAAGGCGGGGACGCGUCCCCGGAUGAGUGUACCUGAAGAAACAGCAUCGGCUAACUCCGUGCCAGCAGCCGCGGUAAUACGGAGGAUGCGAGCGUUAUCCGGAUUUAUUGGGUUUAAAGGGUGCGCAGGCGGGCCGUUAAGUCAGCGGUAAAAGCCCGGGGCUCAACCCCGGCCCGCCGUUGAAACUGGCAGUCUCGAGUUGGAGAGAAGUAUGCGGAAGGCGCGGUGUAGCGGUGAAAUGCAUAGAUAUCGCGCAGAACUCCGAUUGCGAAGGCAGCAUGCCGGCUCCACACUGACGCUGAGGCACGAAAGCGUGGGUAUCGAACAGGAUUAGAUACCCGGGUAGUC
rnacentral:rRNA from 1 species